GUGAGCAACUGGGUCUCUCAGUUCUUUGGGAGCACCCUGGGAAACAGUGUGGCUAUGACUUGGAGCUGCUCACCAGUUCCAGUCAUUCUGUGGUUGAGAGCUGCUCCCUAUGGAUGUUAAUUCUUCUCUAUUUUAGAUUUUCCACAGGUGUGGGCCCCAUUAGCUCUGGCCACCUGAGAAAGCCCUCAGGCAAAGAGUCGCAGGUGAAAGCCAGCAGUUAGAGGUUCACAGAAAUGAGUGCAGAAGCAUCUUCAGUUGGAGAGCCAUUGCCUCUUGCUGUGAAAUAUUUGGGAAUCUUCAGAAACCAUGAAGAAUAACCUGCUAAAGGCCACCAAGUUCUAUUGAACAUCAUGAAUCCUAUGCUCAAGUGAGAUCAGCUCAAGUGAGACCAGAUAUCUGAAGACCUUUUCAUUUUCGCCACCCUCAAAUGAAGGCAUGCAAGGCUGCUGCCACAAUCAUCAUUGAGAUUUCCUGUCAAGGCAUUUGCCACCAUUAGCCCUCUUCUUCUGACUGCUUGUUGUUUGUACUUCCUAGAGGCCAUGGUCAUGCAUCAGCCCUACUCAUUUAAAGAUCACACAAAAAGAUGAAUCAACCAAGGUUUGGAGACAAUAAACUGCUCACCCAAGAUUAUAUAAAGAAAGCAAAAAUUGCAGUUAGAAGUGGCAUUUGUUGGUUGUAGUAACAGUUAUCAUAAUCUGUGCCAUGGAUAUCAGAAAGGCCAAGUGUGAAGGAGCUGAACCAACUAGAAACUGAUUUUUAAGUUGUAGGUUUAAAACAUACCAGUUGAUGGACAGAGGCCUAUUUGCAUUGAUAAGUCACUGGAGUAAAGAGGUAAAAAUCUUAAGAGAUUUCACGUGGCUGAUUCAUUGCUACAGAAACAACUUCCUUGGUAUCUGAUGGUUAUAAGCUUAAUGACUCUUGCUUUGUUUCCAUGAAUGAAUUGGCAUCAUUAUGGAGAACUGAGGGAAUGCAGACUUUCAAGGCAGGGAAACAUUACAUUUAGCUCAUAUACAUGAUAAAAAGAAACAGAUUGUGUAAUUACUACACAUCUGUGAGCACAUUUUUUUUUUUAAAUAGAACUUUUCCUGAAUAAUUAAUCACAUCUCUUGAUUUAGGCCUUGGUAGUUUUUAAUAAAUUUUAAAUAUUUAUACCGUGUUGCCAACUAUUUAAUUGCUUACCAACUGCACAAUAUACAGUCACUUUGGGAGAGGAAUCAAGAGGCUGAUAAAUAAAAGGGUGCUAUCCACAGGCUGAAAUUUUUUAUCCUCACCUGCAAUUAAAGUACCCAAGAAUUUUUCAAAGCUACCUUUCAGAAGUGUUUUCAGAUUUUAUACAGUCUUCUUAAAAAAAAGUUCUGCUCCUGUAAUGUUGUUGAAAUAUAUUUGGACACCUAAAGUGUGUGCCAUAAAGACUGCUUUUCUCCUAGGAACAUUAUGCCUGUAAUUAGUAGAUAUUAUCACGAAGAUGAUAGAAUUUAAGUUUAUGGAUUGGGACCCAUGCAGUACAGAAAGCCCGGCAACCAAUGACUAACCAGUCCGGAUUCACUCAGCCUUUGCUACCAAAAAAAAUCUUAGUAAGCUAGACACAAAAGGACAAAUAUUGUAUGAUUCCAUUUACAUGAGGUACUUAGAAUAGGCAAAUUCACAGAGACAGAGUUAGUAUAGUGAUUACCAGGGUACAGGGAAGAGAGAAAUAAAGAUUUGUUUAACGAGUAUAUGGUUUCAAUUUGGGAUGCAAAAAUGUUCUGAAGAUGGAUGAUCGUGAUGAUGGUACAACAAUGUAAAUGUACUUACUGUCUCUUAGCCGUACAUUUAAAAUAGUUAAAAUUGUAAGUUUCAUGUUAUGUAUAUUUUCCCAAAAUAAAAAAUUUUUAAGCAAU
ensembl:lncRNA LINC00534 long intergenic non-protein coding RNA 534